AUUCAGAUCGCGUAAAAUGCAAUGAAAAGAGAUGCCGGCGUGCAAGUGAUCUGAAAAAGCUUUUCAAUAGAAAUGCAAGCUAAUGACUGAAGUAAAAUUAUAGCUGAAAUGGAUGUCAACAAAGACCGCACCACAAUAUAUAUAGGCGUAUAUAUUUGACAAAAUAAUUGUUAAAAACAGAAGUCAAACUAAGAAGCUAAACAGAAGUUCAUCUAAGUCGCUGUAUUGAUAACUUAUACAUGGAAUGCAUUAAUUACUUACCUUGGACAGCCCCGUCCCUCCCUCCCUCCCUGCCUGCCUGUCACACUUCCACGUUUGCUCUCCAGUCCUCCUCCCCUCCCACUCCCCACUCCUCUCUAGGCUCUCCGUCAGUCCGCGCGCCGCGCAAGGGAGAGAUUGAAAGUGACACACUCACAUUGUUGCUCUUGAGAUUUUAUGCCGCUGUAAUAGGUAAUGUCCGCAUCGCACAAAGCAGAUACUUGACGUCUGUUUUAGCUCGGUUUCUCUUUGUGUGCAUGCAGCAACGUAUAUGGACGUUUCUAGGUUUUGAUGCUCUCUUUGCGCCCGCUGCUGAGGUUUUCAGUUCUGCCACGGACACUCGUGACUCAAACUCGCGGUAAACGCUCGGAGUCUCUCAGUUCCAGUGGCUCAGUCACAGCGCACAGUGCACGGAGCCCAAGUGUCCAACACCGAACCCAUCGACAGUAUUCAGUCCUCCGCGAGGCAGCGAGAAGCCCAGCCCUGGAUUCAAUACUUUUAAUCAAUGGACAGAGCCCUCUCAACGGCCAACCGAGGUACCGACACGCCAUAAGCAUCUGCUUCUGGAUUGCAUACAUCAAGUCUUGGCUAAGACGAAAGCUAUUAUUUCGAUCGUUAUUGCCCAUGGAAAGAUACUGUUCAUGCAGUUCAUUUCUCAUUAUGUGGGUAAGUUGUCACAGUUAAAGCUGAUAUUAAGCACCCCAUCAGCUAACUUUGUAUUUUAAUUAACUAGUUUUUUUUUUUUUUUGUAAAAUUCAAAUAGUAACAGCAUAAUAAUAAUAAAAAAACAACAGCAAAAGUGUGAAAUGUAGGCCUACAUUGUACAAAUAUCAAGUUAUUGUUUUGACCAAAAAAUAUUGUGUUUAGUAAAAACCUUUUUUUAUUAUUCUUUUUUUUUUUUAAACAUAUGACAACUUGAAAUUUAUUACAGCCUUGUAGUCCUGAGGGCACCACUCAGCCUUUCACAUCAAAUGUCAUUAUGUAGGCUAGUUGACUCUCACUUGAAUAUGCAAACAUGGUAUUAUUGGUAUAAAAAGUUUUUUGAAAGUUUUGUUUGGAGGAUGGAAUUCACAAAAAUAUUCUGAUUUAGAUGGGUUUAAAACCUUAUAAAACCACUUAUAAAACCUUAUAAAAUAACACAUUUUUUGUAACUUGAUUUUUGACAAAACCUUACUGAGAUUUAAUCCUUGUGACAACUUUCCUGUGUGACAGCUAGCCCUUAGCCUAUGUAUUUAUAUAUAUCAAACCAUUUAACACUACAUACCUAAAUCCAGACCGCAGUCACUCUCUCUCUCUCUCUCUCUCUCUCUCUCUCUCUCUGUGUGUGUAUAUGUGUGUGUUCAUUUGUGUUUUAUAGCCCUGCUCAGUGUAGUCUACCAUGUGUGAUUUUUGUGAGUCAAUGUGUGGUCCCUGGAAGUGUCAGAGCAGUGAGCCUGCUCUGUGGUUUCUGUGUGUUGAGUGUUUGUGCACACUUGUGUUUGUCCGUUUUUGUGCGAGUCAGAGAGCAAGGGAUUUAGGGAGAACAUAAUAAACUGCUGCUCACUCUUUAUCUUUUACUGUCUAAGAUGUUUAUUAGCAAACUAAACAUACUUUCCGGAAGAUCUUUCGAACCUUCUCUUCAUAUCUGAAUCGACAUAUUCUCCACACAUGUCCAGUACAUUUGCACACACCCACAUUAUGGCAACUGUAUUUGCCACUUUUUCUCAAUUCAGUAAUAUCUUAUGAACACUUAUUCCCUUCUAUCUUACAUGAUGUCACUUUUUAUUUCAUAUAAUCAUAAUCAUAUAUAUUUACUCAUAUAUCCAAGGAAGUCUCAGUAUCGAGCUUGUCUUACUAUGUAUAUUUCCAGAGUAAUCAUCUGUCUUGGUUACAGUUUGAUCUGUCAUCAAAUUCAUGGGUGAUAAGCUGCUAUCUAUGUAUUCUUCCCUUCCCAACGCACACACCUGUGAGACACCGAGGGGCCUUCAAUGCGAAUCCCUCAACCAUCUUCACCUGCUUUAUCUGUACCCUGACUGAGCCGAUGCUUUAAUAACCCUGCAAUAAAUGAGUAUCACAGCCCUAUUCCCUGGUCAAUAAGGUUGACGCCUUAACAUGUCGUCAACACAGAGAUACCACAAUACCACCAGGUUCUGAACAACACACAGCUUUAUCUCAUCGCUCAUUUGCAUGCGUGUCCCUAUUAGUUGUUAUUAACUGUUGUCGGGUAAAGGGCUUUUAUUACUCUGAGUUGGAAACGAGCGAGAAAUUGGACACUCUUGUCCUGCCAAACAGUCUUUUCCGUACCUAAUUUGUGAAAUUGCUUUUUAUGUCAUUUUUGUAGUCCAUAUUUCUCCUUCUCUUUUCCCAACCUUCUGCCUUUUUUCUCAGCGUCUCUCAAUAUUGUUCUCUUCUCUGUGUAUACUGACUGACAGUGUGAGUAUAGUCAGAUCAGCAGUGUGUCGUUUACUGCCCUCAGUUUCCUGUGUGUGGUACAACUGGCAGAGGCCACUCUCACUGCCAAAGAAAAGAGUGCAAUGUGGAGGGGAGAGGAGGGUUAGCAGAAAAUGUAUAUCGCAUGCUUAGGAGAGAGUCUUUGCAGUGUGGUCGAGAAAAUGUAUAUCGCAUGCUUAGGAGAGAGUCUUUGCAGUGUGGUCGUCGUAGUUUGGAAAUUUGAGUCUCAUGGGAUCGGAGUUCUGUUCCACUCCCUCGUCUGGCUUCUCUCAUCUACCCCUAAACAUAACAGUCAUUAGUUAUGUUUGUAAUGUGUGGCUGCAAGCAUUACAAAUAAAAAUGGAGCCGUGUAUCUGGUUGUGAAUACCUGUUGGUAAAACACUCAAAUGUAAGGUGCUGUGUAUCUUUCAGUUUCAUGUUGCGUGUCAUUUGUCAAGUGGGCUGGUUAUUAUGUAUGCUUUUUAUUAGCAUAGCUAUAAAAUAGCUGUACUAUUUUAAAUGAUAUAACCUGUAUUUCAUAGUUCUUCCUGCUAAUAAUCACCUUACUGUAAGCUAUUUCUUAAUCUCGAAACAAGAUCUUGCUUUUAUUUUUUAUCUUCAUAAUCUUUGUUGAUUAUUCUUGAAACUUGCACUGAUUAGACAUUUAUCUCUAUUUCUAAUUGAUGUUGUACAGUUGGAAGGACAGGGAUUAAACAAGUCCAAUCACACUUUUAUGAUGACUGUAAAUUAAAUUAAACUCCGUCAUCAUUUAUAUACCUUCAUGUUGUUCCAAACUUGCAUGACUUUUUUUCCUUCUGUGGAGAAUAAAAAAGAAUUAAAACGACGACAUUAACAUUUUCAAUAUAUCUUAUUUUGUGUUCUACAAAAAAGAGGGUAAAUAAAUGAUGACAAUAUGCUCAUUUUUGGUUGAACUCUCCCUUUAAUAACCUAAUGUAAUUCAUGUGAUGAAUUGAAAUUGAAAUUACAGUGGCAGUGUUCUUUUAUUAAUAACUGUCCCAUUUAUGCUUUAUAAUCUUCUAAUGGUUCGUUUUAAUUUAGAAAUAAAUAAAUUAGUCAUUCAGUAAUUUUUUCCAGUCUGUUGAUGAAAUAGAGGAAUACUCUCUCUGUUGAUAAAGCUUUGAUGAAGCUGUCUCACCAUUAGCUCAGCAAAUCUGGAUGAGAUCUUGUGGUGCUGAAUUACAGAGCUUUUACCAGCAUAAUCACACAAUCUCUUUCACCUCACAUUUGAGUUCAUGAAUUUCAAAACCUUGAAUCACAGUAGUUUGUUGCAAAAGUAUCCAAAGUAGUGUAUCAUAAUUGUAAGAGUGCCUCUUCCAUACUGUAUUGAUUGGUUACAGCAGGUGUGUAUUGACAAGAAGAAACUUUUACAGUACUUACAGUCUUUGCAUAGCCACUGCCAUCUCCAUACGUGGGUGACGGGCAGACACACUGGAGCUGGUUUUAUCUUCCCAUCAAAUAUUUGCCGGGGUGGAGGAGGAUCAGAAAGAUAGAGAGAGAGCGAGAGAGAUUGGCAUAGAGAUGGGAGAAACGAUUCAGACAAGGUCUUGAUUGGGAUCGGAAGACUCAUUAAAAUCAAGCAGGUUUAGACCUGUGAAGCCCAGUGAAGGAGGGAACAAAAACAACCCAUCAGUGCCAGAUGAACUGACACCGAUAAAAGAUUUUAGGGGUUGGUAAUACAGUGCAACUUGCAGGCAAACAGAUGAAAAGCUCUCAGCGUCACUGAUGGCAAUGAACGCAUCAAGUACAAUGACCAUUGUGUCCGCUUGCGGUUUCAUCCGUCAGAUUUCUCGCCCAGUUCCGUGCAAGUAUCUGAAACAUCUCGAGACACUUUUUGUGCAGAGAUUUUAUUUCACUCCUGGGACUUCAAGUCUAAUGGGCAAGCCCUCGUAGACGAGCUGUUAAUUAAAUGCAGAUCUGUUCGCCUUAUACAGUUAAAGUGGAUCACAGUGAUUUUACACAUAGCGGUGGGAUGUAUCUGUUAUAGUUUAGGACCUUAUCCUCUUAUUGUUACUGAAGUGUAGUAUUUUCAAACUUUGAUCCAUUUUGAAAACUUUGACAUGACUAGAACAAGAGAAAUGAGAAAUAAUAGCUGUAUGUACACUGAGGGAAUAUCAGUUUUAAUUGGAAAGCUGUGUUUAAUGGGUGCUAUUAAUUUUGUAUAUACGUGUGAGUGUGUUUUCAUAAGCAUGCAUGUCCGUUGUUGUAGUGUAUUGUUCACACUUGAGCUCUAUUAAACUGUCUCAUAGGCUCUGUAAAUCUCUUUCCUCUGUGUGUGUGUGUGUGUGUGUGUAAGUACAGUGUCGGACCAUCUAGUUUCUUCGUUCCCUCAGCAGCACACUAACACUUAUUAAACUCUAAAGAAUUCAGACACUUGAUUUCUGGACCCGCAUUAGGUUUUUAAUCACGCAGAGGCUAAUGUUUUUAAUUUAUUAUUCAUUUUGAAAAUUUAGCUCCAGCUUGUAAUUCUCUUUGGACUUUUUUAUGUUCCAUGAUGAUGUUUUUCUCUUCAGGGCCAGAGAAAAGAAUAAUGUUUUCUGCAUAACCACUGUGAGAAGAAUAGCAGUGAGGGUGGACACUGAAAUCUAUCUAUCUAUCUAUCUAUCUAUCUAUCUAUCUAUCUAUCUAUCUAUCUAUCUAUCUAUCUAUCUAUCUAUCUAUCUAUCUAUCUAUCCAUCCAUCCAUCCAUCCAUCCAUGCAUCCAUCCAUCAGAAU
rnacentral:lncRNA from 1 species